AUCCUCAGACCAAAUCUAUGAAUUAUUAUUCUUAUUUUUCAGAUUCAUAAACUAAAGCUUUGAGAGUCUAAGUCGCAGACUCAUAAAUGGCUGAGCCAGGAUUCAAACCCAGAUGUGUCUGACUGCAAAGGCCAUUUAUUCAAACUGCUAUGCUACAACUAUGUUGUCUAUAUAAAAUGCAACUUAUUCUAAAGAAGGAAGCAUUGCCAACACAUGGAGAGUAAUUGGAGACCCCAGGAGACAGUGAGAUCCCAGGAAACAUCCAGGGUAGAAUUGGGACAGAUCAGUGGAAAUUGCAGACUUCCUGUGGCUUCCCAUACAGGAAUCUGGCUUCAACAUGUUCAUUGCCUGGAUGAUCUUCAAUUCUAUGACUCAAAGAUUCUGUGAGAGUCAGUGUCUUUAUAGAGGCAUGAUAAUGAACUUUCCAACACAGAGCUGCGUUGUAAAACAGUGAUCUGCCCAUCUUUCAAGGUGUUCCAUCUAUAGGACUACCUGCUGGAAAAGCUGUAGAGGAAAUUAUUAAAUUGGGUGAGGCAGAAGAUAGUUUGCAAAGGUAGCUACACUUACUCCCUUCCCUUUACCCAUUCCCCCAUUGCAAGAUGAUGUUGCAGCUCCUCCCACAGAGAGGUAGCAUUCCUCCUCACCCCUUGAAUCUGGGCUCGCCUUGUGACUCGCUUUACCAUAGGGAAUGCAACAGAAGCAAUAUUCUGCCAGUUCUGAGUCUAGGUCUCAAAAGGCCUUGCAUAAUUUCACUCUCCUAGAAAUCUGAGAACCCUACGAGCAAACCCUAGCUAGGCAAGCCUCCUGGAGAACUCAGGGCGACGUGCCAAAGAGAGGUGGUACAGCCAAUAGCCAGCCAACCUCUGGAAGCAUAACCACCUUGCUGACCACAGAUGCAUGAAGAAGCUUAGUGGAGCCCAGACAGAAGGCCCAUCUAGCUAACCUGUAAAUUCACGGGCGGUAGUAAAUGGCUGCUGUGUGGUUCUCAAAAGCAGCUCCU
rnacentral:lncRNA from 1 species